AUUGAACGCUGGCGGCAUGCUUUACACAUGCAAGUCGAACGGCAGCACGGGCUUCGGCCUGGUGGCGAGUGGCGAACGGGUGAGUAAUGCAUCGGAACGUACCGUGUAGUGGGGGAUAACGUAGCGAAAGUUACGCUAAUACCGCAUACGCCCCGAGGGGGAAAGUGGGGGACCGCAAGGCCUCACGCUAUAUGAGCGGCCGAUGUCGGAUUAGCUAGUUGGUAGGGUAAAGGCCUACCAAGGCGACGAUCCGUAGCGGGUCUGAGAGGAUGAUCCGCCACACUGGGACUGAGACACGGCCCAGACUCCUACGGGAGGCAGCAGUGGGGAAUUUUGGACAAUGGGCGCAAGCCUGAUCCAGCCAUGCCGCGUGAGUGAAGAAGGCCUUCGGGUUGUAAAGCUCUUUCAGACGGAAAGAAAUCUCCCAGGAUAAUACCUUGGGAGGAUGACGGUACCGUAAGAAGAAGCACCGGCUAACUACGUG
rnacentral:rRNA from 1 species